UUACAGCCAUAUCAUGUUGAAACACCGAUUCCUGUAUGAUCACCGAAAUUAAGCAAUAUCAAGCCUGGUCAGUACCUAGAUGGGUGACCACUCAAGUAUACCAGGUGAUGUA